AUGGAAUAGAAAGCUUCGUUCUUGGAGUGGUACGGACCGAUGGAAAUGAUUUUAGGCUUAAAAUAAGCACGAUCAUUAUCAUCAGCUCCAAUGAUCUCUUCCAGAACUCUACACAUGGUCACCUUCUCGGUGGGACGUAAUUUUUCAAUGUAAUCAAUGCCAGCAUCAUUUAUGUCAAGCUCCUUCUCUAUGGAAGCAAUCACGUCCGAU
rnacentral:lncRNA from 1 species